rnacentral:rRNA from 1 species
UACGAAGGGGGCUAGCGUUGUUCGGAAUUACUGGGCGUAAAGCGCACGUAGGCGGAUCGAUCAGUCAGGGGUGAAAUCCCAGGGCUCAACCCUGGAACUGCCUUUGAUACUGUCGAUCUGGAGUAUGGAAGAGGUGAGUGGAAUUCCGAGUGUAGAGGUGAAAUUCGUAGAUAUUCGGAGGAACACCAGUGGCGAAGGCGGCUCACUGGUCCAUUACUGACGCUGAGGUGCGAAAGCGUGGGGAGCAACAGG